GCCAUAUAUGGCAUAGUGGUUUGAGUGUUGGAUUAUUACUCUGAAGGCUGGGGUUCUAUUCUCUGCUUGGCC